UUUUGGCACUAUUUCAAUAGCACCAAAGUUGACACAUGUGGUACAGAAAGACCACUUGUAAUUGGUAUCAAACAACAAAUUUCUUUGGAGAAAGCAUUUGAGUCCUUCUGCAAUGGAACUUACCUUUAUGGACCUAUUUUUGAUCAUGCCUUGGAGUAUCAUAAAGAAAGCUCAAAGAUGCCUCAGAAGAUAUUGUUCAUGAAGUAUGAAGAGCUAAAGAAGGACCCAAAAGGGCAACUGAAAAAACUUGCUUCAUUCCUCGGGAAACCAUUUACUGAGGAGGAAAAAGUGGACAAAAUUCUGUGGAGGUGUAGCCUGGAGAGACUCAAGAACUUGGAGGUUAACAAGAAUGGGGUAAAUCCAUGGAAUUGGUUGGCUAAUAGUAGCUAUUUCAGGCUUGGUGUCACUGGGGAUUCAAAGAAUUAUCUAACAGCAGAGAUGGAGGAGCGUCUUGAUCAAAUUGCCCGAACGAAGCUGGAAGCAUCUGGACUUGAUCUUGAUGCAUGACAAACAGCAGAAAUGCGGCACCUGAUGUUUAGGCAUGCAAUAUAUGUUCCUUCUCUUCUGUACAAUUCCAUACGACAGAAAAAUACUGGAAUGUGUCACAAAAGUAGAUCUUUUACACAGUACAAGUGAAGUUUAUUUGUGCAAACUGGCCCGGAAUAAUGCCAUUGUUGUAAUAAAACUCGUACUCUUUCAAGUUACUAACAUGCACAAUUUCAUUACAUAAGAAAAAUCGAGGUUUUAGGUUAAUUUUGAAAAGAAAAUAUCAAGAACCAUUUCGCUUCAUUAUUUCCUCAGUCCAUAUUCUAUCAUGUUUUGAAAGCUUGCUGUUAGCUGAUGGUUCUUAUUGAGCAAAAAUGAAAGAAAAAUUAUCAAACUAUUCGUAAACAGGCAGUAGCGAAUCAUAGUUCAAAACGAAGCAUCUAAAUUAAAAGAAUUUACUAAACAAAAAUAUAAGCUCUCUCUUAAUGACUAAAGUAAUACAAUUUUAGAAGUGAUUAUGAUUUUCAAAAUCUCGUAAAAAUGUAAAUUGUAAUAUUCCUUAGCUGAAUAACUUCUUUUAAGUGUGUAAAAUCUAUUUAAAGCAAGAGAUAAUUACACAAACCUCCCCUGAUAUUUAUGAAAAUUAGAGUUAGCACCCUUGAUGUUUAAAAAUUAUACAUCCCUCACUUCAAUAGUCGCUUUGAUAUGUGUAAGAAAAACCUUAUACAUAUCUCAAAUUGCUCUUAAGGAUUUCUAUUUUGGUUCUAAUCAAAUUCUUUAAUCAAUAUCAUUAAUUUUUUUUCCUCCAAGUCCCAAAUAUUUGGCGUUGUCUAAGGUCUAAAUCAUUUUCUCCUUAUUCAUUUAGCCAAAUUUACUAUUGCAUGCUUGAAUUUGCAAUUGUUUUAUUGAACUUUGGUGGGAGAGAAAAAGAGAAUAAAUUAGAAGAAUGAAAGAUGGGAAAAUUUAGGGGCAUGACAGAAACUGAAAUAUGUCUGAUAUGAAGAUUGUGAUUAUGGUAAAGGAUAAAAAACUUGGAUAUACAAAAGAAAUGGAUUAAUUUGGAGAAUAAAUGGUAGUGGUGAUGAUAAAACUAUUUAGUGAAGGGAAAUGCUUGGUAGUGAGUUUUUUAAGUUUGGAUAGCCAUUUGAUUUUUUUACUACAAUUUUUCCGUUUUGAAAAAAUAAAUUGGCCACUAUUUUUGCAGAGGAUGAUUGUCAUUCUUUUGGGAAGGUUAUUGUAUAAAUUCUAAGUCAAGAAGAGAGGUAGGUGUGAUAUUUAAAAUUAGAGGAGCUUGAAGUGAAAUUGUUGAAAGUUUCGUGGGAGGUUCUGAAGUUAUCCCUUAAAGAAAUUGCAAAUCAUCAGGUACAACAAUUACGAAAUGUGAUAGGCAAUUCUAUGCAAUCCUUAUUAUCAAAUAAAUUGAAUCAAAAUCUAAUUGUGAAAUUGCUAGGAAUACUAGCUAGUUUGGUUUUACAAGGAUUGCUUGAUUUCACUAUUUGAUCGGUCAAGAAUCUAUAAAAAUUUAACAUUCUUGCAAACUGCCGUGCUAGUCAAGUAAAGGGUUUUAACAAACUGACGUGUCAAGAUUUCAAGUGUAUUUAUAUAAUAAGUUAAGAGUGUUCUAGUUAUAACAAAUAUCCCAAGAAUACAGGUUAAAAAAAAUAGAUUUUUCUAAUGGGUACCUAUUAAGUAUAAACACGCAUAAAUUUCACCUGAUCUGUUAUAUAUAUACACAUGCUAAUAAUAAUAAUUAUUUUUUAUAUUUAUACAUAUUUUUUAAUUAAUUCUACCUUUUUAAAAAUUCAGUCCUCCUUGCAUUUAUUACACUUUAUCUAAUUAAUCUUACCUUUUUAAAAAUUUCAGCACUUGAAGUAUAUUUUAGCGCGAAUAUCCAAUAGGCACCCGUUGAGCAGGCUUAAAAAAAAUCCAUAAAUGGAAGAGAGCUUAGCUCCUAUUAUCAUUUGGCGGCUCAAAUUUAAAAAAAAAAAAAAUUCGGCGCCGUUCCAUGAACGGAAGAGAGCUUAGCUCCUAUUUUCAUUAGGCGGCGCUGAGUGCAGAAAAAUUCGGCGCUAGACAACGCCAGGCCAGAGGGCUUCGCAGAUUAGUAUAGGGAUGGGGGGGACCCCCCGUUUAGAAACGGAGAGGGGGGUGGGGGAGUAUACCCCCGCCCCGCUACCCGCAAAAAAUAUAUAUAUAAUUAUAUAUAAUAUGUAAUUUAAUUAGUUAAAAACUUAUGAUAAUGAUAUUAUUAGUUAGAUGUAUUAUUUAAUGUAUAUUAGUGUAUGUAAUAUAAUUGAUAUUAUCAAUUAUACGAAUAAUUAGACAUGUCUACUAAUAGAAUUUAUUAAUUAGUUAUACUAAAUUUCUAAUUACACUUAAUAGAAUAACACUUUUUUCUCAAAAAAAAGCGCAAACACAAUAAUGAAUUAGUAAUUGUAUUUGUACCAAAAGUGAAAACUUAACUAUUUUAGUUGUAUUUAUUUCAUCAUGUUGAAUUGUAUUCAAAUAACUUUUGUUUAAUUGUUUUUAUGAGUUUCAAUUGUAAAAUUACAAUGAAUAAUAACUUGAUGAUGUGUUGAUAUUUUAGUACUUGAUUAUUUAUUAAAAUUUAGCUAUAAUAAAAUUUUAUUAAUCCCAUGAAAAAAAUUUUAUUAACCCCGCAGGGAAAGCGGGACGGGGCGGGGGGAAUGGGAGGUGAGGGUCGGGGGGAAAUUAAUAGGCAAAGGGGCGUCCCCCGCCCCAAUCCCGCCCCGUUGCCAUCCCUAGAUUAGCAUCUCGCGCGGCGCCGGUGCCUGGGUGCCAAUUUCUAAAAUGUUCGGCGCUAGUCAACACCUUUUAUUAUAAAUAUAAAAGAGGGCUUCGCCUAUUGGGAGCUGCCAAUUUCACAAGGUGCCGGCGCUAAUGUCAACACCAAUUUUUUUUUUCUUUUUUAGUUUCAAUGAACAUUACCAAAAUUCAAAAAUUCGCCAUUAAAUAGGCAAAUUCACAAUUUUUAAUCAUCUUUUAUCCUGCGUGCAUUACAUAAAAAAGAUAUUACAAUAAUUUUUUUUAAAAAAAAACAUAGGAUAUUAUUUGAAAUAAUUACUGUAGCACUUUUUAUGAUGUGAUGUAUGUGAGAUAAAAAGAUGGUUGGAAAUAUAAAAAGAUGGAUUGAAAAAUAUGUUUAUGAUGCAAGCGAAAUAUUAUUUGAGAUAAACUUUGUAUCCAAAUACUCCCAGUAUUUCCAAAAAUCCACCAUCCAAAUACAUGCCAGCCAUAGUGCACCUACCCAAAUUCAAGAAGUUCACUAUUGAACAAGCGAACCUCAAUGCCGGUCAUAGACUCACAGUAACCCCCCCCCCCCCGCCCCCGCGCACCACACACACACACAUACACAAACCCCCAGAGCUCUUUGUCCACAAAGAGGAGCUAGGCCGUGUACUUGCAUAGUUUCGCACCACCAAAACGAAAAGGAAAAAAGAAGUACAUGCACAGUUUCCUUGGAGUAUCGAGAGGGCCGAGCAGCCAUCAAAAAAGCCGUUCGGAACAAUUUUUGUCCAAUUCAAUAGGAUAAAAUCUCAUUUGUUCAAAAUGUAAUUCAAUUUUAACAACUUGUAAUUAUAGAACAGAAUUUUGUGAGUCUUACACAUAAUGUUGAAAUUGAUAUACAAGAUGAGAUUUGAACCUUACAUUUUUUUUUUCGAGCUAAAUCAUGGCCAUCAACUUUUUAGGAACACUUGCAAAUAAUUUUUCUCCCUUCUAGGAAAAAGUUGUACCCAAACGGUGGCUUUGUAGCCUUAUCAGACUUUUUCUUUUGAAGUAUCUCUCAAUUUUUACAACCGGAAGGUUUCUACCAACCUUUGAAAGGUUGCAGUGCAUGUGGAUGUAUCUAAGUUGCCUUGUAGCCACUCUAAAAUGUAGAUCCGGAAUCUCAUAAGUUGAGUUGUCGUGGAGUUUUAAUAGACUGUAUAAUUUUUAUAACAAUUAAUAUAAAUUGGUACAAUUUUGAUGUAAAACUUGUGUUUAUAACUUGAUUACACCUACCCAAUAUUAUUAGAGAUACAUAGUGGGUUUUGAACAUUGUGAGGCUCCAAAUCCCUCUAAAAGCACCAUGCUUGACCUUGUUAUUUACUUGCUCCAACAGUAUAUACUCCGAGCUCGUCUUUUCUUUCUUCUGUUUUGUGUCUGAGAAGCAUGUUGGAGGUUGGAGGUUGCACAAUUUUUUUUCCUCCUGUUACCUUCUUCGCCCCCACCCCCUCCCCCCGUUUAUUAGUAAGAUAAUUCGCUGCUAUCCUCUUCCUUUGGUAACAGGACGGCUCCUGCUUGAUUUAAUGCUCCAUUGCCUGAAAUUAUGGUAAGGUCCACUCUCGAAUCAGGAAAACGUUUCCUCUGGUUAAGCAGGCUGAGUUUGCUACUUCUAACUAGCCAUAAAUACAUGGUACAAAGCCUCACAAUACUUAGUCAAAAAAUGUGGCGUGGGCAACCCAAAUACUUCAGUCUACCACUUUGCCAUUUUUCUUUACAUAUAUAAACUCCACCAGCUCAGUUUAUUGCCCAGCCCGCUUUUUCGUAUAUGCAAUAUAUCUGCAGCCUCAUUGCUCAACAUGAAUUCUAAAUCAAUUGAAUGUAAUUCCUUUCAAGCUUUUCUUGAAUCUCUUCCCAAAGAAAACUUCUGGGAGAGCUUUGAAAUCUAUCAAUGGAAAGGUAUUCGGUUUCAUCCUUUCAUUCUUCAAUCCACCAUAGCUUUAUCAACUGAAUCCCGCGUAACGAUGAUAUCAUAUUAGCUUCAUCUCUCAAAGUUGGGACUACAUGGCUUAAGGCCCUUUGUUUGAGCAUCAAUAAUGGUGUGGAUCAAGAAAAUGAAGAUAUUCUCACGAAGGGCAGUCCACAUCUAUUUGUUCCAACUAUUGAGUCUAUGGUCUUUGUUCCUAACUCAGCUUCUGUGCUUUCUGGUAUGGCUUCUCCUAGACUCCUUCACACACAUUUGCCUUAUAUUCUUCUUCCUAAUUCAAUUAGGAACUCAGGUUGCAAAAUUGUUUACCUUACUCGAAAUCCUAAAGACACUUUUAUCUCAUUUUGGCACUAUUUCAAUAGCACCAAAGUUGACACAUGUGGUACAGAAAGACCACUAGUGAUUGGUAUCAAACAACAAAUUUCUUUGGAGAAAGCAUUUGAGUCCUUCUGCAAUGGAACUUACCUUUAUGGACCUAUUUUUGAUCAUGCCUUGGAGUAUCAUAAAGAAAGCUCAAAGAUGCCUCAGAAGAUAUUGUUCAUGAAAAAUGUUGAGCUAAAGAAGGACCCAAAGGGGCAACGGAAAAAGU
rnacentral:lncRNA from 1 species